rnacentral:rRNA from 1 species
AACGAACGCUGGCGGCAUGCCUAACACAUGCAAGUCGAACGAGACCUUCGGGUCUAUUGGCGCACGGGUGCGUAACGCGUGGGAACCUGCCCUUAGGUUCGGAAUAACUCCCCGAAAGGGGUGCUAAUACCGGAUAAUGUCUUCGGACCAAAGAUUUAUCGCCUUUGGAUGGGCCCGCGUUGGAUUAGCUAGUUGGUAGGGUAAAAGCCUACCAAGGCGACGAUCCAUAGCUGGUCUGAGAGGAUGAUCAGCCACACUGGGACUGAGACACGGCCCAGACUCCUACGGGAGGCAGCAGUGGGGAAUAUUGGACGAUGGGCGAAAGCCUGAUCCAGCAAUGCCGCGUGAGUGAUGAAGGCCUUAGGGUUGUAAAGCUCUUUUACCCGGGAUGAUAAUGACAGUACCGGGAGAAUAAGCACCGGCUAACUACGUG